ACCUCACAUGAUAUCCUUUCCCAUUUACCCUUAGAGCUAUUUUGGGAGCUUCCUGUAAAAAAGGAAGACAUUAAAGAGUCAUCGAGGAAGAUGUCAUUGAACAUAUGGGAUUUGAACAUGACUAUCCUUUGUGGUUUUGCUUCUCUGAUUGAAAGCCGUUGGAAGGAGAAGCAAAAAUGGAAGCAGGUACACUUCUUAAAAUCAGUACUGUGAGUCUAGAGCUACAGAUCCAGAGAUGUUGUCAUAGAGAUAGAAGUGUACCAGUGUAAAAUAUUAGCCAGAUGUGGUGGCACACACCUGUAAUCUCGUGUUACUAAUUCUCUCCCCUUUCUGUGCUCUUGUCCUGGAGAUGAUAAAGUGUGAAGUCAAGGACACAGCAGAAGGGAACAAACCAAAUGUAGUUUGUUAGAAAGAACAACAAAAAAAAAAGCUCUCACUCACUAAGUGGGACUGCAAAGGAGGACACUGAGGAGGUUCCCAUUUUCAUGAGUUCAUGUGUACUUUUUGGGCUAUUUUGGUGGAUGUGCAAAAAUGAAACAAUGCAAUCGCUCCUUCUAGCUAGGCUUCUGACAUAAGUAAGAACAGACUUCUCUUGCACUCCAGCUUCCCAGGGCAUAUCUCAGUUUAUCCAAGUCCUUGCCCUUUGAAACAAUGGAUUGCUGUGCUUUUGCUAGGAUUCUGAUGUUAGAACACACUCCCCCUCCC
rnacentral:lncRNA from 1 species